UGGGCUGCCGCGCGCUGUGGCGCCGAAAGGUAUCAGCGUGAGGAAAGUCCGGGCUUCACAGGGCAGGAUAACGGAUAACGUCCGCCGAGGGAAACCUCCGGGAAAGUGCAACAGAAAUAGACCGCCGCAGCCUGCGGCAAGGAUGGAAAGGCGAGGUAAGAGCUCACCGGCACGACAGGCAACUGUGUGCAAAUGUAAACCCUAUCCGAUGCAACACCGUAUGCAGACCGGAUUCCAUGGGAAUCCGUGCCGGCCCGGCACCAGUGUCUGCGGGUGGCUGGAGGCCUGCAGCAAUGCAGGUUCGAGAUAGAUGGCAGCCACGGCUUUAGCCGUACAGAACCCGGCUUACAGAUUUCCCU
rnacentral:RNase_P_RNA from 1 species